UUUUUUUUUAAAAAUUAUAUGCAAAUUAUUUUUUUUGGAUGCUAAAUUUACUAAAUGGUGUGAUUACUAAUCGGAUUUUGGAUCCAGUCUUUUGAUCGUUAGAGAUUCUAUAAAUCCAACUUGUUUUUGCACCAUUAUGUAAAUUUAACCUUCACGAUUGAAUUCAAUUAUUAAGAUAGUUUUUUUUUUCUUUUUUUUUAGACUAUCAUAGGAUUUUUUUUUAAUGCUACAUUUUAAACAUAGUGUGAUUAUUAACCAUAUAAUUGGAUCAGGUUUUGAUCAUUAGAUAUUUUUUCCCAUCAUUAUGUAGAUUAGCAUUCAAAGUUUUAAUUCAAUUUUAAAAAAUAGUUUUGAAACUUAUGGUUUUUUCUUUCUUUACUUUUGGAUUUUUAAAAAGUAUUUGUGGUUUUUUCUUUUUCUUAAAGAUAGGUUUUAGAAACUGAAGAUUUAGCAUUAGAUAUAGUCAGUCUCAAAGAGAGAGAGAGAAGGGAGUUCAUUUCUCUCUUCCAAAUUGUUUUAUUCUCUACCUCUAGUGACUCUAAUCUAGAUUCUGUCCAAAAACAGAUCUCUCGGUUCAAACGGUUAAUGAUGGUACAUUAGUAGGAUUACAUAUUGAUUGAGGAUGACGGACUAAUAUAUGGGAUUACAUACUGAUUGGUUAUGUCUCAUGUAUUACAAUACAAAGUAUAACAGAGUCUUGGGAAGUACAUCAUUUGAUGAGUUCUUUAGCUAUCAGAUACCGGUACCCGAAAUUGUGUGGGAUCCAUUCUAUGAUACUCUUUCGAGAUCUUUUUAUGUUGAGUUUCGUAAUUGUAUACCACAUGGGUUCCGGGAGACAUUCUUGGAUCACCUCCAUCAAUGCCGCUUGAUUCAGACCCAAGUCUUUGCUGAAAGACUCUAUCAUCCUUGGUAAGAUUAGUUUCUGGUCAUUUCUGAACCCAAUGUUUGCGCGGAUGUACUCUUCUUUUGCGGUUUCCAGCUCUAGGUAUAUACUCUCGGCCGUAUAUACUCGAAUCUAUGACCCAAAAGAUGUAAAAUUAGUCCAGUAAGGGUAUUAAAUGUAUGGAUAUAGAUAUAUGUAGAGAGGAUGAUCGCCAAAAAAAAAAAAAAAAAGAUAUAUGUAGAGAGGAUGUGACGAUGUACCGCGGGAUCAGAGUGAUUUCCGGAACAGAGAGCAAAGUACAACAGAGGCUCUGGAUGCUCAAGGGAGUAUUCUUGGUAGUUAUCUCUGGUUCUGAGUUUUUUUGAGGUGAGUAACAACCGCAACCACUGUAAGCAGGGAGAGAAUAAGCUUCUUCACUAGACGGAUCACAUUGUGAUAAAAUUGUAAGGAUUUUGGUAGCUAAAGUAGUGACCUGUUGGGGACAAGGCAUUCGGCUUAGAAGAAUAGAGUUUUGCAAUAUAUCUAUGCUCAUCACACGACCUCCUAUGUUGUAAGCUGGCUGCAAAAUUUAGCCAUUGAACCUCAAGCAAUUUCUUACCUUAGAGUUUCUGGUUUUUUGAAUCUUUUAAUUUUCUUACCUUAGAGAAUAGUAAGAAUCUCUUUCCGUUGUUCUUUGGAAUCCCAUUAACUAAAAAUGCCUGGCAGAAACAUAAAAAAGAGUUUUUAAGUUCAAUGAAAUUCACAAAUUAGAAAGAUAAAAAAAGAAGAGCGACAAAAAAAAAAACCUUACGUGCAUCACAAGUGAGUUAUAAACAUUAAUCCAGAACGCAAGUUUCUCUCGAUGCGUCAACUUUCUCAGAUCAACAUCUUCCAAUUGUUUAGUAAGGAGUCUGUGUAAUUUAUAAUAAACCAAUAUCUAUAAACAGAACACUAAGUGAAGAAAGCAAUAUCUGUGUGUGUGUGUGUUUUUUUUACCUGAAUUGUUGAAGCAUCAACUCAAAGUUAUGUCCUUUCCUUUUAAUAUGUGACACUUCGAUCAUCGAGCUGUACGGUCUACAUGAUUCGAAUUGGUCCUCGAAAGCAGAGCUUUUCCUGAAGCUCCACAACCUUCUUGUCGAAGAAAGAAACCGAGUGUCUGCAUAUUUGCAGUACAUAGUCGACACAUACUUUAUCAUCUCUUCUGAUAACUUGUUUGGAGUCAUUAUAGAGACUUACUUCUUUUAUGGACUCUUGUGGUGAGGAUACUCUGUUGCUGAAAGUGGACCGUUGAUUAAGCAAGGAUUGGCAUCGGCGAACAUUAGAAUUAUAUAUGUCACUCUCGGUUGAACAUCUAUUUUCAAAGGAGAAACAGCGAUAUUCAAUUCCUUGAUUCUCAUGUUCUCUUGAGAAGUCUGCACAUUUACUUGUAAGAGUUGAUUUUGGUGAAACUGAGCUCUGCUUUUUGGAUGAUGGAGAUAUAUGUACUGAUGCUUCUUGACCAAAAGCUUUUCGAUAUAGCCAUAAAAGAUUUAAUAACUACAAUAAGAAAAAUGUGGAAAUUGAUCUGAGGUUAAUGAACAAAAGAGCCAUCAUCUCAAAGAGCUAGAGAAGUGUUUAGAAUGACACAGUGAAAGGGGGAAAAGGACCAAAAUUGACUUGUUGCUCAGGAGAUCUGACUAGUAGUAAGUACCUUGGGAGUGAAGAUACUGUCGUCUUGAGAAGUUUCUCUAUAACCCAAUGCCAUUUCUAAAUCGUUACGAACAUCCAACUGAGUCUGUAAUAUUUUCUCAAGAUCUGUAAUCUGCAUGCAUAAUCAAAAAGGACGACCAAAGUGAGUGGAUUAGAGCAUGUGAUCUAAAAACGGUUGUG